rnacentral:rRNA from 1 species
UACGGAGGGUGCAAGCGUUAAUCGGAAUUACUGGGCGUAAAGCGCACGCAGGCGGUCUGUUAAGUCAGAUGUGAAAUCCCCGGGCUUAACCUGGGAACUGCAUUUGAAACUGGCAGGCUUGAGUCUUGUAGAGGGGGGUGGAAUUCCAGGUGUAGCGGUGAAAUGCGUAGAGAUCUGGAGGAAUACCGGUGGCGAAGGCGGCCCCCUGGACAAAGACUGACGCUCAGGUGCGAAAGCGUGGGGAGCAAACAGG